UCUCCCAGCACCUACCUUUGGUCACAUACAAGUAGAAGAAGUCACAGUAGAAGAUGGUUUGUACCACUCCAGACACUACUGCGAUUUGGUCAUAGAAAUUCUCCGUCUGGUACCGCCUGAUCCAGUUAGCCAGAAGGUAGGUUCCAUGAGAACAGGAGCCCCGUAUGUAGUCUUCAGAAUGAUGCCUGGCGCACAGUAGAUGGAGAUGAAGUUGGUAAAGAGGUCCAGGUACCUGGUGGUGAAGACGAGAGCGAAAAGGAUCUGGCUCUUCCCAGAGAUGCCUGCAGUCAGAGGGGACAGGAGACAAUGAGGACAAAGACUCCCAGGCCCACCCACAUUCCAGAAGCUCAGAACCUAGAGCUGGAAAAGCCUCGGGAGUGUCCACUCCACUUAAUGAAGACACCCUGUCCAGGACAGCUGUCGCUCUCUUGGGGACAGGAAACUCACGCCUUCCCAUUGGAUCACUUGAGUCGUCGUUCCUCUCAUUAAGCUGUAAUCUGUCUCCCAGUCUCCAAAUAAAGACAUGAACACCAA